rnacentral:rRNA from 1 species
AUACGGAGGAUCCGAGCGUUAUCCGGAUUUAUUGGGUUUAAAGGGUGCGCAGGCGGGGGAUUAAGGCGGCGGUGGAAUUUUUACGCUCAACUGUAAAAGGGCCUUUCAAACUGGUUUCCCUGGGUGUUGAUUAAGGAGGCGGAAUUUGUGGUGUAGCGGGGAAAUGUAUUGAUAUCACGAGGAACUCCGAUUGCGCAGGCAGCUUACUAAACUACUACUGACGCUCAGGCACGAAGGCGUGGGGAUCGAACAGGAUUAGAUACCCUGGUAGUCCACGCAGUAAACGAUGAUUACUAGAUGUUUGCGAUACAAUGUAAGCGGCUGAGCGAAAGCGUUAAGUAAUCCACCUGGGGAGUACGUUCGCAAGAAUGAAACUCAAAUGAAUUGGCGGGG